rnacentral:rRNA from 1 species
UACGUAGGGGCAAGCGUUGUCCGGAAUCGAUUGGCGUGAAGCAGCGUGUAGCGGCUUCGAUAAGUCUGCUCGGUGAAAAGUCCAGGGCUCAACCCUGGGAUGCCGGUGGAUACGUGUCGAGCUCGGAGUCCGGGAAGAGGGCGAAGUGGAAUUCCUGGUGUAGCGGUGAAAUGCGCAGAUAUCAGGAGGAACGACCAACUGGCGAAGGCAGCUCGCUCGGGACGGUGACUGACGCUGAGACGCGAAGCGUGGGGAGCAAACGGGAU